UGGGGAAUAUUGGGCAAUGGGCGAAAGCCUGACCCAGCAACGCCGCGUGAAGUAUGAAGGCCUUCGGGUUGUAAACUUCUUUGAUCAGGGAAGAAACAAAUGACGGUACCUGAAAAACAAGCCACGGUUAACUACGUGCCAGCAGCCGCGGUAAUACGUAGGUGGCGAGCGUUAUCCGGAUUUACUGGGUGUAAAGGGCGUGCAGGCGGGCUGAUAAGUCAGAUGUGAAAUCCCCGAGCUUAACUCGGGAACUGCAUCUGAUACUGUUGGUCUUGAGUGCUGGAGAGGAUAGUGGAAUUCCUAGUGUAGCGGUAAAAUGCGCAGAUAUUAGGAGGAACACCAGUGGCGAAGGCGGCUAUCUGGACAGUAACUGACGCUGAGGCGCGAAAGCGUGGGUAGCAAACAGG
rnacentral:rRNA from 1 species